rnacentral:snoRNA from 1 species
UGCCUCCUGGUGCUUACCACAGACCAUGUUCCUACACUGACAACAUGAAGAGAGGAAGCAGAGGAGCCCUAACUCAUUACACCUCAGCCCAGGCUGUACUGUGAAUUGCAGGGCCAUUG